rnacentral:rRNA from 1 species
CAAAGGAGACUGCCAGUGAUAAACUGGAGGAAGGUGGGGAUGACGUCAAGUCAUCAUGGCCCUUACGACCAGGGCUACACACGUGCUACAAUGGCGCAUACAAAGAGAAGCGACCUCGCGAGAGCAAGCGGACCUCAUAAAGUGCGUCGUAGUCCGGAUUGGAGUCUGCAACUCGACUCCAUGAAGUCGGAAUCGCUAGUAAUCGUGGAUCAGAAUGCCACGGUGAAUACGUUCCCGGGCCUUGUACACACCGCCCGUCACACCAUGGGAGUGGGUUGCAAAAGAAGUAGGUAGCUUAACCUUCGGGAGGGCGCUUACCACUUUGUGAUUCAUGACUGGGGUGAAGUCGUAACAAGGUAACCGUAGGGGAACCUGCGGUUGGAUCACCUCCUUACCUGAAAGAA